ACGCUCGACACCUACUGGAGGCAGCAGUGGGGAAUAUUGCACAAUGGGGGAAACCCUGAUGCAGCGACGCCGCGUGGAGGAAGAAGGUCUUCGGAUUGUAAACUCCUGUUGUUGGGGAAAAAGAGGAUGGUACCCAACAAGGAAGUGACGGCUAACUACGUGUCAGCAGCCGCGGUAAUCUGAGCGGGCUGGCAAGGC
rnacentral:rRNA from 1 species